GAUGAACGCUGGCGGCGUGCCUAAUACAUGCAAGUCGAGCGAACAGAUAAGGAGCUUGCUCCUUUGACGUUAGCGGCGGACGGGUGAGUUACACGUGGAUAACCUACCUAUAAGACUGGGAUAACUUCGGGAAACCGGAGCUAAUACCGGAUAACAUAUUGAACCGCAUGGUUCAAUAGUGAAAGGCGGCUUUGCUGUCACUUAUAGAUGGAUCCGCGCCGUAUUAGCUAGUUGGUAGGGUAACGGCUUACCAAGGCAACGAUUCGUAGACGACCUGAGAGGGUGAUAGGCCACAUGGGAACGGGGACACGGUCAAGACUCCUAAGGGACGCAGCAGUAGGGAAUGGUACGCAAUGGGCGAAAGCCUGACGGAGCAAGGCCGCGUGAGUGAUGAAGGUCUUCGGAUCGGAAAACUGUGUUAUCAGUGAAGAACAAAUGUGGAAGGAGCUGAGGACAGAGUGACGGUACCGGAUCAGAAAGCAACGGCUAACUACGUG
rnacentral:rRNA from 1 species